AGAGUUUAAUUAGGGCUCAGAUUGAACGCUGGCGGCAGGCUUAACACAUGCAAGUCGAGCGGCAGCGGAAAGAAGCUUGCUUCUUUGCCGGCGAGCGGCGGACGGGUGAGUAAUGUCUGGGGAUCUGCCCGAUGGAGGGGGAUAACUACUGGAAACGGUAGCUAAUACCGCAUAAUGUCGCAAGACCAAAGUGGGGGACCUUCGGGCCUCACACCAUCGGAUGAACCCAGAUGGGAUUAGCUAGUAGGUGGGGUAAUGGCUCACCUAGGCGACGAUCCCUAGCUGGUCUGAGAGGAUGACCAGCCACACUGGAACUGAGACACGGUCCAGACUCCUACGGGAGGCAGCAGUGGGGAAUAUUGCACAAUAGGGGAAACCCUGAUGCAGCCAUGCCGCGUGUGUGAAGAAGGCCUUCGGGUUGUAAAGCACUUUCAGCGGGGAGGAAGGCAAUGGCGUUAAUAGUGUCAUUGAUUGACGUUACCCGCAGAAGAAGCACCGGCUAACUCCGUGCCAGCAGCCGCGGUAAUACGGAGGGUGCGAGCGUUAAUCGGAAUUACUGGGCGUAAAGCGUACGCAGGCGGUCUGUUAAGUCAGAUGUGAAAUCCCCGGGCUUAACCUGGGAACUGCAUUUGAAACUGGCAGGCUAGAGUCUCGUAGAGGGGGGUAGAAUUCCAGGUGUAGCGGUGAAAUGCGUAGAGAUCUGGAGGAAUACCGGUGGCGAAGGCGGCCCCCUGGACGAAGACUGACGCUCAGGUACGAAAGCGUGGGGAGCAAACAGGAUUAGAUACCCUGGUAGUCCACGCUGUAAACGAUGUCGAUUUGAAGGUUGUGGUCUUGAGCCGUGGCUUUCGGAGCUAACGCGUUAAAUCGACCGCCUGGGGAGUACGGCCGCAAGGUUAAAACUCAAAUGAAUUGACGGGGGCCCGCACAAGCGGUGGAGCAUGUGGU
rnacentral:rRNA from 1 species